GAGUUUGAUCAUGGCUCAGGAUGAACGCUGGCGGUAUGCUUUACACAUGCAAGUCGUACGAGAGUUUUUAACUCAAGUGGCGGACGGGUGAGUAACACGUAAGAAUUUGCCUUUAGGAGGGGGAUAACAACUGGAAACGGUUGCUAAUACCCCAUAUGCUUUCGAGUGAAAUGGAUUUAUCCGCCUAGAGAGAAGCUUGCGGCUGAUUAGCUUGUUGGUAAGGUAAUGGCUUACCAAGGCGACGAUCAGUAUCUGGUUUGAGAGGACGAUCAGACACACUGGAACUGAGACACGGUCCAGACUCCUACGGGAGGCAGCAGUGGGGAAUUUUCCGCAAUGGGCGAAAGCCUGACGGAGCAAUACCGCGUGAGGGAUGACGGCCUAUGGGUUGUAAACCUCUUUUUUCAGGGAGGAAUCAA
rnacentral:rRNA from 1 species